GGCAGCGCGCCCCAGCCUGGUCAGCCGAUCGAGCCUCUCCGACCGAAAAUCGGAAGGUCGGCGGUUCGAUCCCGCCCCUGGCCA
rnacentral:tRNA from 1 species